rnacentral:lncRNA from 1 species
AAAACUCACUGUGAAUAUGUCAGCAGUUUCUUGAAUUGCUCCCAAUCUUUCUUGUUGUGGAUGCAAAAUAAGAUUUAUAAAUGAAGCCAAGAAGUGCUUAGAUAAACUGAAUAAUCUGGGGUCACCAUACUGGAAAAAAAAGAAGUAAAUAUUGCAAAAAGAAAACCAAACCUUUGCAGAUCAACUGAUGAAGCUAGAAAGUAAAACAGAAAUGUUUUCAAGUAAGUUUUUUUCUUUUUUUCCCCCUGUUCACAAAUGGCUUGUUCUUGAAGAUUAUUUAUUCUCACGUAAGUGAUACUUUCCUGUUGCAUGCAGCAUGUGCUUGGUGCUGUACCUAUGGAUAACAUGGAGCUAUUUAUCCAAUGCCUGCUUCAUUCACGUUUUAAGAAAAUAGUACAAGAUACUGAUUUUUAAUAACUAGAUAUAUGGUUGGUUUUAAAUGCAAUACUAUAAGGUACUAGCCCUUAAUAUCGCUGUUAUCAGUAAGAUACUAACUUAUGAGUUUUCAGACAUUUAUCUUUCAAAUACAGGUGAUAGUUCAUACAAAGGUGGGCCUUGUUCCUCCAGCAGGAGGAAAUCUUAAUGCCUUCAGUUCACCAGUUCUAAAUGUCAGGAUUUAAUUUCAGUACUCAGUAUAUUUGAAGUAAAUUCUUGACAUGUACCUCAACGACCUUUGUGUGCCAAUAACUGAGACAUUAAAAAGUGGUGAUUGCCACUACAUCUGAAAAACUUGUUUUUUUCAACAUCUGACUGACUGUUCAUGGUAUAACAUACAUCUAAGAAUCCUGCAGUUUUGGAUAAAGAAAAUGGAUGAGAGAAGUAGGAGGAGGAAAAGGAGGUCCUGGAAGUUGGCACUAUAAAAAUAUGCCUCAGAACAUUGAAGAAUAUACAUAUUCCUCUCUCUGUGAAUCUUCCUUUGACAAAAUAGGCUGAAUACUGGAUGAGGUGAGCAAAUUGAAAAGCUGUAACUUUUUCAGUGAGUGCUGAUUAAAUCUGCUUACUGCUAAAGCACCAUAUACUCAGCUUCCAAUUUGCUUUUUAUACUGAAGAGCCAGCCCAUCUGGCACGCUCAAAGCUACAUCUGGAGAAACUUUUAUUCAAAGAAAUUCCAUACAGCUAUGCUAGAAACCACCCCUGCAGCUGCUGUUAUAAUGCAGAACGAACAUUUAAAAUAGACUACAAAAAAAGCCUAUGCUGAGUGACUAUUGGUUUCAUUUUUUGAAUUCUGAAUCAGGCAACAUUUGUGGCUUGCAAUCAGUUCUAAUAGUUUCGUCUUAUUGUUAGAUGUUGCUAUGAGAAACACCAGAUCAGUUACUUCAAAGGAAUAAUUUGAACAAUCCUUGCUAAAAAAUCUUUCUCUAAAAAAUUCUCAAACUCAACAAAUUUGUUCCAAUUAGACCAAUCACAGCACACUACUGUGUAGAAUAGCAGAAUUUUCCUGCAGAAAGAAAAGAUCAGCUGCUGAGCAAUGUGUGAAAAAAAAUAUGGUAAUCUGUGUUCUAUUAUUAUUAUUAUUUUUACUGAAGCAAGCCAUGAUCUCUGUUAGGCUGCUAUAGACAUUCUUGAAAUAAAGUCAAUAGCUGUACUUUCAUAAAAUCAAAAAAGCUACUUCCAUUUUUUCUUUUUUUCAAGGAAAUGUUUGUAACAAGUGAUUGUUACUUCAGAUGCUCAAUUUAUCAAAGUAUGUGUGGUAGGGUGGCUAACAGGCUAAUUUCUUUCUUCCUUUUAAAGAAGAAAAAUUAAAAACAUAAAUAAAAUACAGAUUAUUAUAGUAAUUCCUUAAGGGGAUAUGUGACAGUCUGAUUCUACUUUUACUUUGAUAACCAACUCUACAUCUUACCUUGCUCCAUGGUUCAGAUAAGAGUGAACAGCAUAAAAAUGGGUUAAACUGGUG